rnacentral:rRNA from 1 species
GACGAACGCUGGCGGCGUGCUUAACACAUGCAAGUCGAACGGAAAGGCCCUGCUUUUGUGGGGUGCUCGAGUGGCGAACGGGUGAGUAACACGUGAGUAACCUGCCCUUGACUUUGGGAUAACUUCAGGAAACUGGGGCUAAUACCGGAUAGGAGCUCCUGCUGCAUGGUGGGGGUUGGAAAGUUUCGGCGGUUGGGGAUGGACUCGGGGCUUAUCAGCUUGUUGGUGGGGGAGUGGCUUACCAAGGAUUGGGCGGGUGGCCGGCGUGGGAGGGUGACCGGGCGCAGGGGGGGGGGGGUGGGGGCCGGAGGGCUGCGGGAGGCAUCAGUGGGGAAUAUUGCGCAAUGGGCGGAAGCCUGAUGCAGCAACGCCGCGUGCGGGAUGACGGCCUUCGGGUUGUAAACCGCUUUCGCCUGUGACGAAGCGUGAGUGACGGUAAUGGGUAAAGAAGCACCGGCUAACUACGUG